UCUGCAGUCACUGGGAGCCUCUCCAAGAUACAGCCUGUGUGAAGGAAAAGGUUUGGACAAGGAGAGGAACAGUAAAGAGAAACAAAAGUCCUCGGUUUGAAUCAGGAGAUAUUUUGAGCCCGCAGCGGGUUGCGGGGUGGAGGAUGGCGGAAGGGGCAGAUGCCGUUACCUGGUUCUGUUUCUCUUUCGCUGGCCACCUUGUUAACCUCCCAUUGGCCAGGUGUCCGGAGUGGGACUCACCACUGCAGGGGGCUCCAGCCCCACACAGCCGCCUCCCAGGAAGGACUCAGGGGCAACACUAGUUUAGCAGAUAAGAGCACGACUCUGGAGCCAGACUGCCUAGGCUGAAAUCCUACCACCCCACUUACUGGCUGUGUGUGACUCUGGGCAAGCUACUUCUGUGAAAUGGAGAUAACAACGGGGCAACUGGGACGAUUAAAUGCGCUGGUACACAUAAGCCCUUAGAGGCAUGCCUGGCAAACAAGAUGCUACGAGUAUAGCCAAGGAAGGAGUCAUAAAUGUGAACAAAUAUCUACACUACAAGUGUUCGUUGCAGCACCAGUCAUUAGAAGCAACCUGAACGUCCAAUAGGAAGUGGGUUACCAAAAGAACGCUGCAUCUCUAUGACGGCUAUGUAGUAAUUGCAUGAGAAAACUAGAGAUAUAAUAUGAAGCUUUUCAGAUGAAAUGCUGAAUGAUCUCUAUAGAGAUAUAGAUACAGACAUAGACAAAGUUAGUCUAGGGGAGAAAUACAACCGAGUUCCAACACUGAGUGUCUCCAUAGAGAUACAGAUACAGACAUAGACAAAGUUAGUCUAGGGGAGAAAUACAACCAAGUUCCAACAGUGAGUGUCUCUGGUGGUGGGGUUAUGGGAUUUUUAUUUUCUCCCUUAUACUUUUCUAAAUCGGGGUAAUUUUCG